UUUUUUUUAGAUUUCAAAUACGUUUUAUGAUAGCAUUUGGGUUGUUUAUACUGUUUGACACAUUUUUGCUUCAAUGCUAAUUGAGAAAAGUGUUUGAAACAUCAAAUAAACUCAACCAAAUUUAGCUAAAAGAACUAAAUUCAUUCAUGAGUGCUUCAUCCUACACCUCCAAGGAUUUCAUCCUACACCUCCAAAGAUUUCAUCCUGCACCUCCAAUUUCCUAAAAUGUCCCUAAUUAGUAAAUGAUUUAAAAGUUUAAUUUUUUAUUAUUGAGGAAUUCUAUGCACAACAUUAACUCCACUUCCAUUUUUCUCCAAUCACCUAACAUGUAUUCCUGCUCCACAUCACAUCCCUUCAUCCUUCCACUCCUACACCCUUGUACCCCUGCACCUCAUUUCAUCUUUAUAAAAAAACCCUACACCUCCUACACCUUUGUACCUCAUUUCAUUUUAUAUUAGUUUAAUUUUUUUGACAUUUUAUUUAUGAGUUUAUAAUGUAUUAUAUAAUUUUAUUAUUAUACUUAUUUAUUNAUUUUAUUAGUUUUAAAU
rnacentral:lncRNA from 1 species